AAGACCAUGGCCGAGUCAAACAGCCUACUUCACGAGUUAGUCAGUUCAGUUUUUAUUUGGAGAUGUUCUUACUUGGUCAGUUACAAUCAAUGGUUCUUAUCGUAAAGCAAUGACCAAACACAUGUUAUUGGCAUUGUGAGAGUUUUCAUUCAUCGAGGCAACUGGCUCAUGUCUUUCCAAAUGAC